rnacentral:tRNA from 1 species
GGUCUGGUCGUCUAACAGGUCAGGACACCGCCCUUUCAAGGCGGAAAUGCCGGUUCGAGUCCGGUUCAGAUUACCA